rnacentral:rRNA from 1 species
GAUUAACGCUGGCGGCAUGCCUAAUACAUGCAAAUCGAACGAAGCCUUUUGGCUUAGUGGUGAACGGGUGAGUAACACGUAUCCAAUCUACCCUUAAGUUUGGGAUAACUAGUCGAAAGAUUAGCUAAUACCGGAUAAUAACAUUCACUUGCAUGAGUGAAUGUGGAAAGUUGCGUUUGCAACGCUUUUGGAUGAGGGUGCGACGUAUCAGAUAGUUGGUGAGGUAAAGGCUCACCAAGCCGACGAUCUUUAGCUGGUCUGAGAGGAUGAUCAGCCACACUGGGACUGAGACACGGCCCAG